AUAACCGGUAAGUCCGUCAACUAAAUCGAUUGUAAACAAAUGUUUUUGUUUGGCAUAUUGUACUUAUUAAUAAUUAUUAUUUGUUUCAUUCUAUGUAAUCUUAGUGAGAGUGAAAGGUAUUUGUGCUUGAGAAAUCAAUAAAUACACCAGUUAAUUUUUUUACACAUGAAAGUUUUUGUUUUAUAAAAGCGAGGAGGACGAGGUAUUUAUGAAAGAUGAUAUCAAAAUUUGAUUGCAAUUUCCAAGGAAACGACGUCUGUAAAAACAAGGAUUAUAAAGUUGUUUCAUGUAAACCAAUAGUAGUAAGUUAGUGUAAAAAUGUACAUUUUUAGAUGUAUGCGAUAAUGAGUUAACAUUCAUAGUUGAAAAAGAGGAACAUUUGAGUCAAUCAAACUGCAAAUGCAACCCAGGACGAAGAGAUUGGAAAACAAUGUGUUGAAAACUUGAGAACUCUGAACAGUAAGGGAAAGAGGUGAAAAAAUUAAUCAAACACUUUCAUUGAAUUUUCUCAAGAUUUAUCCUUUUCAUAAAGUAAUUUACCUAUAUUAUGAGUAUUUGCUACAUUCUAAUAACUUGGUCCAUUAAUUGUAUUCACUAAAUUAGAUUUUAAGAAGAAUAUUUUAUUGAAAAAAGUUAUUAUUUCAACUACUGUAGCGUAUGAAAGAACAAAAAAUUAAAUAUCCCACAGUUUAUAUCCAAAUAUUCCUUUAGUAAAUAAAUGAUUUAUUUUGACAAUAUUGUAUUAAUUUAUUAACUUUGGUGAGAUGAAGUAAAGAAAAUGUUAUAAAUAUAAUAAUUAAAGGGCGAAUUUUUCAUAUAUUACUAAUAAUUCCAACAAAUUAUUCCAUAUGUGGAAUACAACACAGAAAUGUUUACAAUAAGCUUUUAAAAUUUUGUAAUAUUGAAUUAUAUCUAACUAGAUCAAGCCUAUGAAAUCAAGGUAUAUCUGGUAUUACUAAAACAAUAUGGUUGUUAACUUCUUUAAUAAUUAUUGCUAUAGUUUUAUCUAUAGAUAUAUCAGGAUCAUAUCAAAAAUUUCAUCAUCAUUUCCUCCAAGAGAUAAUAUUUUGUCGAUGAGCUCAAUCUAUCGCACCUACACACCUAAGAAAACGGCUAAUUUUUUUUAAUCAUUUCAGGACGAAGUCUUACUAUACAAGUUAACUUUUUCUCGAUUAUUCAUUUUGAAAUGAACUUAUCAAUACCUAUAACAACAUAAGUAUGUAGGGUGAAAUCUCCUAUUGUCUGUAGUGUUGAUCCUGUAGCUACAUAUCUUAAAAGUUAUUAAUACCUUUUCCUCAUUAGUAAUUGCAUGAAUACUGCAAAGAUAAAAAGAUUUAAAUUUUCUAGAAAGGUAAAAUGUUCUUAGUGCACUUACUCAUCUCUCAUGUUCUUUAUACCUUUCCCUAUUUCUCCAUCGAAAUGGAGCUAUGAAUUCAUCCUCAUUCCAUUUAAAAAAUGAUUUUCGUGAACCCUUGGAAAACAGUUGAAAUUCUUGUUGGUUUAUAUUUUGAUAACCAUUAUUAUUUGUUCUUAUAUAACUGAAAUUCCAAGACACGAGUUACAUCCAUAAAAACAUAUAAAUACGAAACGCUGACAUUAGGAGAAAAAAUUUAAUCAUUCAUAAUUAUCAUAAACUUAUAUUAAACAUUACAUUACAUAUUAAAUAGUUUUAUUGAUAACAAUUUAUAUAUUAUAAAAAUGAUGGUAACCACAAUUACCUUUAAAAUUUAUAUAUGUUAGAAACUAAUAUUGGUAUUAGAUUAUGGGUUCAGUUCAAAACAAUAAUAUAAUUAUUUAGAUACAUGAUAAGACUUCAACGUAGUUGUUUUAUCGAUUAAGAAAACAAUCAAUACACCACAUGUCAAAACCUACAUUUUUAUAUCUAAUAAGUAUAUGAAUUUGAACUGAAUUAAUAUUAAAUUACCCUUCAAUUUCAAAUAAAUGUUUUUUAUAUAAAUAUUAUAAUUAUCUUAAUUUUUAACAUGAAUCUCUACUUUUCUCGGUGUAAAAUAAACAACUUUUUUUUCUGUGUAAUAAUCUGCAACUCUGUUACUCAUAGAUCAAAGGUUCAGACAAAAGCUGUCGCUUCUGUAUUAGUAUUAAUUCUGUGUCAUAGGUACAUAGUGCACAAUGACAAUAAAGAAUGUAUACUCUAUAUCAUGAGAAGUGCACAAUUACAAAGUACAAUGACAAUGUGCUAGUUUCUGAACGAGGUCGUUGUGUCUGACGUUAGCAGUAUGGAAUUAUAUCUUAGAAGCUGAAAACAUAAAUAUAGAAUCGGACCCACAUUCUAUGCUUUGGCUACUUCCUUUCUAUUUCUGUGUUCUGAGAUUGAGAAAUAGAAGCAUGAUGGAUUCUAAUGAAUUCUAUUAUUUUAUAAAUGUUUAAAAUUAUGUUUUUUUUAGGUAAUUAUCAACAUUAUCAGAUAGUUAUCACAGUUGCUAAAAUAUGACAAAUGGUGCAUUCCACGAAGCGUUCACGGCGCCAAAAAUACUCUUUUGGGCGUUCCACAUAGUGACUACGAUCGUUGUGGUCGCGGCGAGAACGUUACUCAUGACGUCUUGACUAACGUUCACGACGACCCUUGUAAUGAGGUGGGUCGAAAUGAGCAUUAAAAUAAUGUUCUAAGCUCAAACAACACAGAUUGCAACGAUGAGAAUCUAUCUUAUUAUUUGAUGCCGUUAUGUACUUUUGAAGCAUUGUUGUGUCGCAGGAGCAAAUAUUUUACUAUCGCCGCAGAAGAUAUUUUGAUUUUACUUCAAUGUAAAUUAGUUUAUCACAGUUAAAAAAUUCAUAACUCCUUAAAGCUUUUUCUUUAUUUUUUCUGUUUUGACAUUCGUUAAUAUUUAUCUCAAUAGUCAAAACGCCUCGCAACCCAUUUCACUUGGGUUUACGAUUAUAACAGUCUCGACUAAAUGGAACGGGAAAUAUCGUGGUUGUGAACGUGAUUGUCGUGAGUGCUUAGUGGAAUGCACUCAAAAAGGAAGUUCAGUAAUAUAUGGAAAAUGCACACAUUGAUAAUCAUAAGCAAUACUCGAUAUAUUAAAGCUUGAAUAGAAAUCUGAGAUUUCGAUACAAAUUAUGGCUCUUAUAUUUACCGAAUGAGAAUAAGAGACAAACUCGAUUAUACAACUAAAUACAGAGCGAACAAGAAUAGAAUAAAAAAA